AUAUAACAGCAACUACUGUAACUUUAACCCCAGUUUCUCAACGUCCCUUUGCUUUGGCCCGAUGCCGGUGUCGUUCACCUCGAGUCGUGUGGGUUUAGAGCAAAAACAAACUCACUACGCCAAUAAAGCAAUGCAAUAAAGUCAAAUGCCUGAUUGCCGCCCGUGUUUAUAGUGGUACCACAAUUAAAGUCAAGCAGCGACCGAAUCAUCCAAACCUAAUGUUUAUUUCUUAUUUUUUUACAUGAUCUAUACUAUAACUGUAAUGGAAUGGCAUUACUGUAAUUAAAUUGUCAUGUUCUUGUCUUAUUAGGUUUCCUACGAGUUAUUGAAGGAUGUUUUUAUCCCAUAGUAGAGCCGCUGACGCAAGACUGGAUUCCUGCUUGAUCAAUGCCAAACUAAAACAACACGUUCUUCAGAUCCUGAGACUGGCAUCAAUUCUGGGAGCAAUUAAAGUGGAAGCUUUCGUAAUCUUCAAAAGGUCAUUCACUUCGAGACAUCUUUACUCAGAGGCAGAUAAACGUACCAAACUAUCGAACAUGCAGUUUGGAUAGAUAUCCCUCUGAUCCACGUGAAAGGUCUUCUUUAGCUUGUGGAAUAGGUAUUUUAAGGUUGAUGGCGCCCUCUAGUGUCUGUUUAGAAGUAGUUCAACAGUAAAAUGAUUAUUACUGGAGCAUUAUAACUUUCACAAAAGCAGACUUUACCCUAUUUCAUUUAUUUUUUAUUAUUACUAUACAUCACAAAGAAAGAAAAAAAAAACGAGUCAAGAUCAGAAUAGACUCCAGAACGAUUUUAUAACCAACUUGGAUAUUUCAAAUAUGCAUUUUCCAAAGAUUUUUAUUGUAGGAGCUUCUGUCGUUUUACAAUGGAUAGCUUUAUUUAUGUGUUAAUUUUGGUAUUCGUGUAUUUUUUUUAAAAAAACAAAUGUGAUUUAUAAAGUACUGUAAAUCACAUUUAUGUAUCUGAGUGCAUUUUUCAUUUUUCAAGUUUUGA